rnacentral:RNase_P_RNA from 2 species
CCAGCUCGAAGGCCACGAAUGCUCAUCACAUACAGGUUGCUUCAUGCAUCCACAUUUCUGAGCGGGCUAAGGUCUGAGUAUUCCAAUCCCCCUUGAUCGACUCUAGCGGAGUCUGGCUGUAAUCAGCUGCGUGACGUACCAGAAAAGCAGCUUCAUUUUCAUAUCCAAAGAUCCUGUUUCCAGCAGAGGAGGGCGAGAAUGAAAGCUUUGAAAGCGUUGCGGGGAUCGGGCAAACUUGUGUUCAUCGUGUUGCAGUCCUAUCGCGCGUGCACCUGUCAAUGGCGCUCAGGGAUGUAGAGAAUCUGACCGUGAUUUUCGCAGUCCCCGGGCUUUUUGCCAUGGUACAUUCUUCCAUCUAAAUCGCUAGAUGAUCUUCUUUUGUCACCCUUAGGAUCCACUUCUAAGUCCUGGUGCACAUUCAGACUGCAGUCGGGUAUCCUUCCACGGUGCCUACUCUUCCGAGCGUUCCCGCUCGCUGCCAGCGCUUCCGCUGACCUUCAUGAAUAACCGCUUACGGCUGGAGAUUUCCAAAAGCUGACUAGGUGUUAGCUCUCCUUGCGUAUGAGGGAUAGACACGAUGGCACCUGUUUGUCCUUGAGUUCACUUCGUGGCUCGCGUAUCCUUUGUGGAUCGCGAAACUCGAUUCAGACUACUCUUGGGCUGG